CUCUGAGUAGCUCAGUGGUAGAGCAUCUGCCUUGUAUGAAGAAGGUCCCCAGCCUCUCUAGAUAUGGCUAGGAGA